rnacentral:rRNA from 1 species
GACGAACCGUGCGAACGUUGUUCGGAAUCACUGGGCUUAAAGGGCGCGUAGGCGGGCUAACAAGUCUGGGGUGAAAUGUCGCGGCUCAACCGUGGAACUGCCUCAGAUACUGUCGGCCUCGAGGAAGGUAGGGGCAUGCGGAACUGUAGGUGGAGCGGUGAAAUGCGUUGAUAUCUACAGGAACUCCGGUGGCGAAAGCGGCGUGCUGGACCUUUUCUGACGCUGAGGCGCGAAAGCUAGGGGAGCAAACGGG